CUCAGAUCAUGUAAGAAUUUAAAGGUCGAACAGACCUAAUCAUUGGGCUCCUGCACCCAAAAUUUUUCUUAAUCUAACAUCGAGGUCGCAAUCUGCUUUGUCGAUAUGAGCUCUCAAAAACAAUUACGCUGUUAUCCCUAAGGUAACUUAAUCUUAUGAUCAUAAAUUAUGGAUCAAAAUAACAAACAUAAAUAAAUGAUAUAAUAAUGAAGAGUUUAUCUAUUCUUCAUGUCACCCCAACAAAACAUCAUCAUUAAAUAUAGAAAGACAAACAAAAAACUAUAUAAAAGUAAAAUGUCAA